UCACCUACAAGAGUUGUAUGGUGAACAUAGCAGGAAUGCCAGGUAUGAGAUAUCUAGGCAGCUAUUUCGCAUAAGGAUGUCUGAGGAACAGAAUGUUGGGGAUCAUAUCCACAAGAUGAUUCGACUUAUUGAGCAGCUGAAACAUCUUGACUUUAAUAUGGAUUUCCAGCUGCAAACGAAUUUGAUCCUUCAGUCCCUACCUGAGUCAUUUGGGAAUUUUGUG
rnacentral:misc_RNA from 1 species